UAACACCAGCACGCCUCUCUCUAGCUCUCAAUUUAAUUCGUUGUUGUAACUAUUACAACUUGCUGGAGCUUUUUAAUUUGAAGUUUACUCUUCUCCAAAACCUCCCAUUUUCUAUAGCCCUCAAUUUAAUUAGCUGCAACGAAUGUAUGGAAAGGAUUUUAGUCAUUUUGAACCUCCCAUAAAAGGAUUUUAGAAAAUGGGAGGAUUUUCUAUAAACCUCCCAUUUUCUGAACUGAAGUUUACAGUCGUAUGUGAUAAUUAGAUCGUCAUCUUGGCACUAUACCUUCCCUCCCUGAGUUUCGCUGCAAUGAACUGCAAUGUAUGAACCCUUAUAACAUGAACCGUGGCUCUUAUGUUUUUUGAUAUUUUUGAUCCCAGGUUAUCAUCUUCCUAGGUUUCUCUACUUCUUUCUUCUCUCAAGUCUCAAGACUCCCAGGGGUGAUGUUAAGCUAAUAACAACAUGGUUUUUCAUGAUAAAAGAAUUUGAAAAGUUGAAGAUGAUUUGAGGGUGUUUGAUUGUUGGUCGUUUCUUUUGUAGCUUCAUGUUUGAUGGAAAUUAUAUGUGAAGGGAAAUUAAAACACUGUAAUUUGACAUGAGUUAUAUGUGAGCUAACUUGAUCCUCUUCCUGAUGCUCAUAAGAUGCUUAAGAAAUAUGGAUCUGUCCUGGCAUAUGAUGACGCGCCUAUAGUGAAUUAUGGAACAGGCAGAUAUUUGUGUGCUUUAACUUUUACAUAUUAUGAGAUCUCAAUUUGAGUGGGACGGAAGGCACAAUUUGAGCUCAAGGCUACGAUAUAGUAAUUGACAUAUUGGUUACUUUUUAGUUCCUCAUUUAUUCUUUCGUUCUACGUUCUUAUAUGAUUUGUAUGAGCGUAAGUUUUAUCAAAUACAGGAGUUCUAAGCCUCCAGUGUUGUAGUAGCUUAAGUCUAUCUUAUGUGUUUCAUAUUAUGUUUUUUUGACUCUA